AGUGAACGCUGGCGGUAUGCCUAACACAUGCAAGUCGAACGGCCGCACAGUAAGAUCUUGCUCUUACUGGUGGCGACUGGCGGACGGGUGAGGAAUACAUCGGAAUCUUCUUUUUCGUGGGGGAUAACGUAGGGAAACUUCUGCUACUACCUCAUACUUCGUACGGCUGAAAGCAGGGGAUCUUCAGACCUUGCGCGAUUCUAUUAGCUGAUUCCGGAUUAGCUAGUUGGCUGGGUAAAGGCCCACCAAGGCGACGAUCCGUAGCUGGUCUGAGAGGAUGAUCGGCAACACUGGAACUGAGACACGGUCCAGACUCCUACGGGAGGCAGCAGUGGGGAAUAUUUGACAAUGGGCGAAAGCCUGACCCAGCCAUGCCGCGUGAGUGAAGAAGGCCUUCGGAUCGUAAAGCCCUUUUGUUAGGAAAGAAAAGCUGCAGAAUAAAACGCCGAUGUUUUGACGGUACCCAAAGAAUAAGCAACGGCUAACUUCGUG
rnacentral:rRNA from 1 species